UGGCUGGAGUUGGAGCAAAUG
rnacentral:miRNA from 1 species